GUGUUCACUUUGUCAGCACAUGUACUAAAAUUGUCAAUGAUACACAGAUCAGCCUGGCCCCUGCACAAGAAUGACGGCAUACUUGAGAAGCAUUCCGUGUUUUU